CCAGUAAUGUUGUGCUUGAUUAUAUAGAAGCCAUAAACAGAACACUAAUUGAUUCAGGUGUCACCAUCGUCGGAGAUAGCAGAACAGAUAGAAUCACCUCCUCUUUUGAUGCUGAUGCUGAAGAAACGUCACCAGAGAACCAUGUCUACAGGAAUAGGGAAGAGAAAUUAACAUACGAGCCCAUGUAAUGUGGUUGCAACCGAACAAAACAAACUCUUGGCUUCACUUACACCACCUUCACAUGCCUUGACAAAUUCUGAAAUAGAGAGUCCACACGUCAUCUUAGUUAGUAGUGAAGUAU